rnacentral:rRNA from 1 species
UAACGCGUGGGUAACCUGCCCUAUACAGGAGGAUAGCAGUUGGAAACGACUAUUAAUACUCCAUAAGCACACACUGCCGCAUGGUAGAGAGUGAAAAGAUUUAUCGGUAUAGGAUGGACCCGCGUUUGAUUAGCUAGUUGGUGAGGUAAUGGCUCACCAAGGCGACGAUCAAUAGCCGACCUGAGAGGGUGAUCGGCCACACUGGGACUGAGACACGGCCCAGACUCC